rnacentral:tRNA from 1 species
ACAUUCUUAGCUCAGUUGGAAAGAGCAGCAACCUUCUAAGUUGCUGGUCGCAGGUUCGACCCCUGCAGAAUGUG